CGGCCUCCCAGAGUGCUGGGAUUACAGGCGUGAGCCACCGCACCUGGCCCUUUGUGUUUUGUUUUAAGCAUCAUUCUGAGAAGGGGACCUGCAGAGGCCACUACAAUGCCUCCUCCGCAUUCCUGGACCUCAUCUUCCAGCUUAACCUUCCAAGUGGAGGAGUGUGCCCUAAGAACCAUCCUCCUCUAGGAGCCCCAUCCGGUGAUUUGCAAGGAUUGUUGUAAACUGCUUAGCUCCCUCAUGUCUUGGGUGAGUUUCACACCUCUCCCAGUAUCUCCCCAGGAUUCAGCUCAUCCUCUGCCAAGGAAGCCAGCUUCACAGCGCCCCUUGGCUACCUUAGCGCCCCCAUGUUGCUUCCCUACUUGCGACGGUGCUCCCUGCACCUCCUGAAUAAACUACCUGUUCUCAAUCUUAUGUUUUCACUUCAACUUAUGCAAAAUGCAGACUUGGCAUAUGGGUUGCAGUAGGCUGCAAAGGAGUUUACGGCCCAAAAUAAGUCAAGGAACCCAGGCUAGAGGUCCCCCUUCCCUGCUAGUUUACCUUAAACUCUAUUUUUCUCCAGGGGAUUCCAAGGCAUGAGGUCUUGAACUGGAGUGGAGAGAUUCUCAAAGAUUCCCAAGUUCCCAAGAUUUACAUUAUCAUGCUCAAAAGGGAACUGAAGUGACAGAAGGAACCUGCUUUGUCUCAGAUGAGACUUUGGACUUGGACUUUUGAGUUAAUGCUGGAAUGAGUUAAGACUUUGGGGCACUGUUGCAAAGGCUUGAUUGUGUUUUGAAACGUGAAAAGGAUAUGUGAUUAUGGAAGGGUCAGGGGUGGAAUGAUAUGGUUUGGCUCUGUGUCCCUACCCAAAUCUUAUGUUGAAUUAUAAUUCCCAAUGUUGGAGGAGGCACCUGGUAAGAGGUAAUUGGAUCGGGGGGCGAAUUUCUCCCUUGCAGUUUUCAUGAUAGUGAGUGAGUUCUCAUGAAAUCUGGUUGUUUAAAAGUGUAUAGCACUUCCCCGUUCUCUCUCUCUCCCUCUCUCUCUCCUGCCACCAUUUGAAGAUGUGCUUGCUUCCCCUUUGCCCUUCAUCCACGAUUGUAAGUUCCCUGAGGCCUCCCUGGCCAUGCCUCCAGUACAGUCUGUGGAACUGUGAGUCAAUUAAACUUAUUUUCUUUAUAAAUUACUCAGUCUCAGGUAGUUCUUUAUGGCAGUGUCAGAAUGGACUAAUACAAAUAUACAUUGGAUAUGAAGGUGAGUCUGCUUCAAGAAAGAAAAGCAUUUUAUAAUGAAAUUAUGAGACAAUCUUGAAGGACAUAAUAUUUGUUCUUAGAUUUUAUAUUUUGAGUUCAACCAAACAAGCAUUUGUUGACAAACUAUUCUACACCAAGAUAUGAGUACAACCUACAGUAAUUUAUUGUCACACAUAAAUAAAUAAGAUAUAGCAUGGCAAUUUCAACAACUGAGAUAGGAAUGAAGUGUUGUGGGAACUUGGCAGAAGCCAGGGAAAGGGGGAGAGCAGACAACUCUUAAAUGCCUGUGGAAAGACCUAGGAAGGCCUACAAGUCAGCUCAGGCUACCAUAACAAAGUACCACCCUGGGCAGCUUAAAUAGAAACACACAGAUGAUUCCCAACUUAUGAUGGUUCAAUUUACAAUUUUUCUACUUUAUGAUGGUGAGAAAGCAAUAUGCACACCAUCAUUUUAAAUAGGAAUAAUACAGGGUAGUCACAGGAGAAUAGAACAUUCCAGGCAGAAGUUUCACAUGACUAGCAAAAAGAAACUGUUGAAAUAGCUGCAGCAGCUAUAGGCUGAUAAGACUCUGAAAACCCAGGGUAUAGACCAAGCUAGCUAAAACCUUCUGGACCCAACAUGGUGCUGGAUUUGACCUAGGUUUCACCUAGGACCUCAUUAUAUGUUCAUUAACAUUCUAAAUCAUAUACCCACCGGUGUUAUGACGGUUCUGAGAAUCCCCAUAUUUGGUGUACAAAUGGGUGGCACCACAGUUCCAAGAAAUCUCCACCUUUUUCCAGGAAUCUUCAUGGAUAUUCCACCCCUUGGUUACAGAAAUUCAUAAAGGCAGCAGUCCCAAACUCCCUUUUGCGUGACUCUCUUGAGUACACGUGCACUCCCUUUUCUUGAGUGUGUACUUUUCCCUUUACCAUAAAUCUCUACUUUCACUAUUUUCUAACCCAGCCUUGAAGUCAUUCUCCAAACAAUGUUAAGAGCCUGGACAUCAGCUGGGGUUCCUCAUCUGGUCCCACCAGUGUUUGGGGACCUCCCCCAGCCCACUGGUAUCAAAUUCAGUAGAAAUUGUACUUUGAGUACCCCUACAAUCAUUCUGUUUUUCACUUUCAAUACAGUAUUCAAUAAAUUACAUG
rnacentral:lncRNA from 1 species